CCUACGGGUGGCAGCAGUGAGGAAUAUUGGUCAAUGGCCGGAAGGCUGAACCAGCCAAGCCGCGUGAAGGACGAAGGUGCCAAGCAUUGUAAACUUCUUUUGUCAAGGGACAAAAUCAGGCUCGAGAGCCUGACCGAGGGUACUUGAAGAAAAAGCAUCGGCUAACUCCGUGCCAGCAGCCGCGGUAAUACGGAGGAUGCGAGCGUUAUCCGGAUUUAUUGGGUUUAAAGGGUGCGUAGGCGGACUGUUAAGUCAGCGGUAAAAGCCCGGGGCUCAACCCCGGCCUGCCGUCGGAACUGGGUGCGUUGAGUGGGCGAGAAGUAUGCGGAAUGCGUGGUGUAGCGGUGAAAUGCAUAGAUAUCACGCAGAACCCCGAUUGCGAAGGCAGCAUACCGGCGCCCUACUGACGCUGAGGCACGAAAGUGCGGGUAUCGAACAGGAUUAGAUACCCUAGUAGUC
rnacentral:rRNA from 1 species